GAUGAAGAACGUAGCGAAAUGCGAUACUUGGUGUGAAUUGCAGAAUCCCGUGAACCAUCGAGUCUUUGAACGCAAGUUGCGCCCGAAGCCAUCAGGUUGAGGGCACGUCUGCCUGGGCGUCACAUAUCGUUGCUCGAUGCCUAUCGCAUUGCGAUAGGACUUAGGGCGAAUGAUGGCUUCCCGUGAGCGUUGUUGCCUCGCGGUUGGUUGAAAAUCGAGUCCUUGGUAGGGUGUGCCAUGAUAGAUGGUGGUCGAGUUAGCACGAUACCGAUCAUGUGCAUGCUCCCCAAAAUAUGGCCUCUGUGACCCACACGCGUCUUUUGACGCUCAUGACGAGACCUCAGGUCAGGCGGGGCUACCCGCUGAAUUUAAGCAUAUCAAUAAGCGGAGGA
rnacentral:misc_RNA from 1 species